AGCGAACGCUGGCGGCAGGCCUAACACAUGCAAGUCGAACGGACCCUUCGGGGUUAGUGGCGGACGGGUGAGUAACACGUGGGAACGUGCCCCUUUGGUACGGAACAACUCAGGGAAACUUGAGCUAAUACCGGAUGAUGACGAAAGUCCAAAGAUUUAUCGCCCAAGGAUGAGCCCGCGUAGGAUUAGGUAGUUGGUGGGGUAAAGGCCUACCAAGCCGACGAUCCUUAGCUGGUCUGAGAGGACGACCAGCCACACUGGAACUGAGACACGGUCCAGACUCCUACGGGAGGCAGCAGUGGGGAAUUUUGGACAAUGGACGCAAGUCUGAUCCAGCCAUUCCGCGUGCAGGAUGAAGGCCCUCGGGUUGUAAACUGCUUUUGUACGGAACGAAAAGGCUCUGGUUAAUACCUGGGGCUCAUGACGGUACCGUAAGAAUAAGCACCGGCUAACUACGUG
rnacentral:rRNA from 1 species